CCUACGGGUGGCAGCAGUGAGGAAUAUUUGUCCAUGGGCGGAAGCCUGCACCAGCCAAGUAGCGUGCAGGAUGACGGCCCUACGGGUUGUACACUGCUUUUAUACGGGAAUAACGCGCCUUACGUGUAGGGCUUUUCAUGUACCGUAUGAAUAACGACCGGCUAAUUCCGUGCCAGCAGCCGCGGUAAUACGGAAGGUCCGGGCUUUAUCCGGAUUUAUUGGGUGUAAAGGGAGCGUAGGCCGCAUGUCAAGCGUGCUGUGAAAUGUCCGGGAUGAACCCGGGCCUUGCAGCGCGAACUGGCGUGCUUGAGUCCGCGGAAAGCAGGCGGAAUUCGUCGUGUAGCGGUGAAAGGCUUAGAUAUGACGAAGAACCCCGAUUGCGAAGGCAGCUUGCUGCAGCGGAACUGACGCUGAUGCUCGAAAGCGCGGGUAUCGAACAGGAUUAGAUACCCUUGUAGUC
rnacentral:rRNA from 1 species